rnacentral:rRNA from 1 species
UCCGAAGGGGGCUAUCGUUGUUCGGAAUCACUGGGCGUAAAGCGCACGUAGGCGGCGCGUUAAGUCAGGGGUGAAAUCCUGGAGCUCAACUCCAGAACUGCCUUUGAUACUGGCGUGCUCGAGUGUGGGAGAGGUUGGUGGAACUCCGAGUGUAGAGGUGAAAUUCGUAGAUAUUCGGAAGAACACCAGUGGCGAAGGCGGCCAACUGGCCCAUUACUGACGCUGAGGUGCGAAAGCGUGGGGAGAAAACAGG